rnacentral:rRNA from 1 species
AUUGAACGCUUGCGGCAGGCCUAACACAUGCAAGUCGAGCGGAGCGGCGGACGGGUGAGUAAUGCCUAGGAAUCUGCCUGGUAGUGGGGGAUAACGUCCGGAAACGGGCGCUAAUACCGCAUACUAUACGAUUCGCCUAGGUCGUAUUAGCUAGUUGGUGGGGUAAAGGCCUACCAAGGAGACGAACCGUAACUGGUCUGAGAGGAUGAUCAGUCAAACUGGAACGUAGACAAGGUCCAGACUCCUACGGAAGGCAGCAGUGGGGAAUAUUGGACAAUGGGCGAAAGCCUGAUCCAGCCAUGCCGCGUGUGUGAAGAAGGUCUUCGGAUUGUAAAGUACUUUAAGUUGGGAGGCGUUACCAACAGAAUAAGCACCGGCUAACUUCGUGCCAGCCGCCGCGGUAAUAC